AUUGAACGCUGGCGGCAGGCCUAACACAUGCAAGUCGAGCGGCUCGGCGGACGGGUGAGUAAUGCUUAGGAAUCUGCCUGGUAGUGGGGGAUAACGUCCGGUAACGGGCGCUAAUACCGCAUACUCUUACCUGCGCAUGGGUCGGUUUAGCUAGUUGGUUGGGUAAAGGCCUACCAAGGCGACGAUCCGUAACUGGGCUGAGAGGAUGAUCAGUCACACUGGAACUGAGACACGGUCCAGACUCCUACGGGAGGCAGCAGUGGGGAAUAUUGGACAAUGGGCGAAAGCCUGAUGCAGCCAUGCCGCGUGUGUGAAGAAGGUCUUCGGAUUGUAAAGCACUUUAAGUUGGGAGGCGUUACCAACAGAAUAAGCACCGGCUAACUUCGUGCCAGCAGCCGCGGUAAUAC
rnacentral:rRNA from 1 species